rnacentral:snoRNA from 1 species
CCCUUCUACAAAGGCAUGUUGGUGGUUUCCUGUCCCUGGACACGUAAGAACUGGAGGCAGAGAGAUAUAGACUUGGAGAAGUCUGGAGCCAGCUUGCUCCCUGCAAGCUCAAAAUCAUCCUGUCCCACACAG